CAAGUCGAACGAGAAAGUGGAGCAAUCCAUGAGUAAAGUGGCGACCGGGUGAGUAACACGUGACUAACCUACCUCCGAGUGGGGAAUAACUCCGGGAAACCGGGGCUAAUACCGCAUAACAUCGCAAGAUCAAAGCAGCAAUGCGCUUGGAGAGGGGGUCGCGGCUGAUUAGCUAGUUGGCGGGGUAACGGCCCACCAAGGCGAAGAUCGGUAUCCGGCCUGAGAGGGCGCACGGACACACUGGAACUGAAACACGGUCCAGACUCCUACGGGAGGCAGCAGCGGGGAAUUUUGCGCAAUGGGGGAAACCCUGACGCAGCAACGCCGCGUGGAGGAUGAAGCCCCUUGGGGCGUAAACUCCUUUCGACCAAGACGAUAAUGACGGUACUGGUGGAAGAAGCACCGGCUAACUCUGUGCCAGCAGCCGCGGUAAUACAGAGGGUGCGAGCGUUGUUCGGAAUUAUUGGGCGUAAAGGGCGCGUAGGCGGUGCCGCAAGUCACUUGUGAAAUCUCCGGGCUUAACUCGGAGCCUGCAGGCGAAACUGUGGUGCUGGAGUGUGGGAGAGGUGCGUGGAAUUCCCGGUGU
rnacentral:rRNA from 1 species